rnacentral:rRNA from 1 species
GAGGAAUAUUGGUCAAUGGGCGAGAGCCUGAACCAGCCAAGUCGCGUGAAGGAAGACUGCCUUAUGGGUUGUAAACUUCUUUUAUACAGGAAUAAAACGGCUUACGUGUAGGCCAUUGCAAGUACUGUAUGAAUAAGCAUCGGCUAACUCCGUGCCAGCAGCCGCGGUAAUACGGAGGAUGCGAGCGUUAUCCGGAUUUAUUGGGUUUAAAGGGUGCGUAGGCGGAUCUGUAAGUCAGUGGUGAAAUCUCCAGGCUUAACCUGGAAACUGCCGUUGAUACUAUAGAUCUUGAACGUUGUGGAGGUUAGCGGAAUAUGUCAUGUAGCGGUGAAAUGCAUAGAUAUGACAUAGAACACCAAUUGCGAAGGCAGCUGGCUACACAAAUAUUGACGCUGAGGCACGAAAGCGUGGGGAUCAAACA